CGCCAGACUCCUACGGGAGGCAGCAGUGGGGAAUAUUGCACAAUGGGGGAAACCCUGAUGUAGCGACGCCGCGUGGGUGAAGAAGCGCCUCGGCGCGUAAAGCCCUGUCAGCAGGGAAGAAAAUGACGGUACCUGAAGAAGAAGCCCCGGCUAACUACGUGCCAGCAGCCGCGGUAAUACGUAGGGGGCAAGCGUUAUCCGGAUUUACUGGGUGUAAAGGGGGCGCAGACGGCGAUGCAAGCCAGGAGUGAAAGCCCGGGGCCCAACUGCGGGACUGCUUUGGAAACUGCCCGGCUAGAGUGCUGGAGAGGUAAGCGGAAUUCCUAGUGUAGCGGUGAAAUGCGUAGAUAUUAGGAGGAACACCAGUGGCGAAGGCGGCUUACUGGACAGUAACUGACGUUGAGGCUCGAAAGCGUGGGGAGCAAACAGGAUUAGAUACCCUAGUA
rnacentral:rRNA from 1 species